rnacentral:rRNA from 1 species
AGAUUGAACGCUGGCGGCAUGCCUUACACAUGCAAGUCGAACGGCAGCACGGGAGCAAUCCUGGUGGCGAGUGGCGAACGGGUGAGUAAUAUAUCGGAACGUGCCCAGUCGUGGGGGAUAACGCAGUGAAAGCUGUGCUAAUACCGCAUACGAUCUAUGGAUGAAAGCGGGGGACUCGCAAGAGCCUCGCGCGAUUGGAGCGGCCGAUAUCAGAUUAGCCAGUUGGUGUGUAAAAGCCCACCAAGGCGACGAUCUGUAGCUGGUCUGAGAGGACGACCAGCCACACUGGAACUGAGACACGGUCCAGACUCCUACGGGAGGCAGCAGUGGGUAAUUUUGGACAAGUGGCGCAAGGCCUGACUCCAGCAAUCGCCGCGUGCCGAGGAUGAAGGUCCUUACGGGUUGUAAACGUGUCUUUAGGUAACGGAACGUAAAAGGUUCCUUUACUAAGUACGAACGGGCCAUAGGACGUAACCGUAAGAAUAAGACGACGUACUAAC